AUUGAACGCUGGCGGCAGGCCUAACACAUGCAAGUCGAACGAGUGGCGGACGGGUGCGUAAUGUCUGGGAAACUGCCCGAUGGCGGGGGAUAACUACUGGAAAAGGUAGCUAAUACCGCAUACCAUCUGAUGUGCCCAGAUGGGAUUAGCUAGUAGGUGUGGUAACGGCUCACCUAGGCGACGAUCCCUAGCUGUUCUGAGAGGAUGACCAGCCACACGGGAACUGAGCAACGGGCCAGACUCCGACGGGAGUCAGCAGUGGGGAAUAUUGCACAAUGGGCGCAAGCCUGAUGCAGCCAUGCCGCGUGUAUGAAGAGGGCUUUCGGGUUGUAAAGUACUUUCAGCGAGGAGGCGUUACUCACAGAAGAAGCACCGGCUAACUCCGUGCCAGCAGCCGCGGUAAUAC
rnacentral:rRNA from 1 species